rnacentral:rRNA from 1 species
GAUGAACGCUGGCGGCGUGCAUAACACAUGCAAGUCGAACGAAGCAGAAGGAUGCUUGCAUCCUUUUGACUGAGUGGCGGACGGGUGAGUAACGUGUGGAGAACCUACCUUACACAGGGGGAUAACGGCUGGAAACGGCUGCUAAUACCGCAUAAGCAUACAGCUUCGCAUGAAGCCGUGUGAAAAGAAAAAUCGGUGUAAGAUGGCUCCGCAUCUGAUUAGCUAGUUGGUGAGGUAAUGGCUCACCAAGGCAACGAUCAGUAGCCGGCCUGAGAGGGCGACCGGCCACAUUGGGACUGAGACACGGCCCAG